CUGAAGGCAGAGCCAGUGCCCCAGACCAGGAUGGCAGUUCCCAGAGACACCCCAGACACCUGGGCCUCCUGGCACCAUCUUCCCUGGCCCUACCCUAUAGAUGCUGUGAUCCAGGUACUUCCAAGCCACCAGAGAGUUGCCUGUGUCCCCAUGACCUGUCCACUGGCUCAGGGGUGACCUCGCCCACGCCCAACAAGACCAAAACAUGGGGCAUUGGUAGCUUCUCUCCCUGAACUGCAGCUGCAGCCUGCAUACUGUGGACAUGGAAGACAUGCUCUGGCCUCAUGGGGCAGCUCUGGACACUCCCUCUCACCUGUCAGGAGCGCCCACCCUCAUUCCACCAUUGCUACACCCAUCUGCCAGCUGACUUUAACAUGGUUUGCUGAAGAAGCCCUGACACCACCUCCUCUUUGAAUUGGGUUCCUUUCACUGCUCCACUGGGAGUCAUCCUUGAGUGCUGCAGCCAGUCCUUCCCUUCUCUGUGGGCUCCCCAACUGUGGCCACUCAGUGGGUCCAAGUGUCCAGGUGCCUGUGGUUCACUGUGUACCAAGGCAUCUCCAGCAGGCCUGGGCAUGCGAUGGGGAGUGAGGCAAAGAUCCACAGCUCAUAUCCAGCAGCAUUCAGUUGCUACUCGUACGGCCCCUCUAGUUCCUGCGCCUUACCUUCUGCCCUCCACAGGUCACAGCCAGGCACGUACAGGCCGUACAAUUUGAAACUUCACAGAGAAAAGCUAAGACUAGGGUGGGUGAGUCGUUUUUCCUCAUCUUGCACCUAGCGAGAAAGAGGUCUUACUUGUGGAUCAGCUCUUGAGCCCUGUCUGGGAGACAGCCUGGUAACAGUUGAAGCAAAAGGAUUCAGAGAGGUUCGAGUGCCCAGGGUGGCGGACACACUGAGGGAGUAUGGAG
rnacentral:lncRNA from 1 species